rnacentral:rRNA from 1 species
GCUACCUACGGGGCAGCGGCCGCGGUAACAGGGAGGGCGUAGGCUGGGGCCGGAAUGAUGGGGCGGAAAGGGCUCGUAGGCGGGCUGGUGGGUCCGCGGUGAAAACUCGGGGCGUAACCCCGAGCCUGCAGGGGAGACGGGCAGACUAGAGGUAGGUAGGGGAGAAUGGAAUUCCCUGUGUAGCGGUGAAAUGCGCAGAUAUCGGGAGGAACACCGGUGGCGAAGGCGGUUCUCUGGGCCUUACCUGACGCUGAGGAGCGAAAGCGUGGGGAGCGAACAGGAUUAGAUACCCCUGUAGUC